CAGAAUCCACCGGGGUGCAGCGAGGCUGUGGAAAGUCCCACCCAGAACGUGAGGUGAAGAAGGCUUGGGCUGCGCUGGUUCUGCUCUGUCCGGGUCGGAGAUGAACUGACCCGGGAGAGCAGCGGAGGGAUGUUUCUUUUGGCCAACAGUGGGGACUCACCUGCACGUUUUGCGAAGAGGCCCACAGUCCUUUGCGUGGCGCUCGGACUACAUUUCCCAACGGCCCCUGCACGCCCUGGGGGCUGUUCCAUGCGGUGUUGCGCCUGCGUAGCCGGCGGGCUGGCAGUGAGACUGACUGCGUCGGGGUUGAGACUGGGUGGAUGAGGCUCACCCCGGCGGGGAGAAGGGACGAGGAGGGGCGGACAGCGGAAGGUCCGGGAGUGUCCGCCAUAAAGUCGUUUGAGGUGACCGUUGCGUAAUUGUGAGUCUGUGAGAGAAGAUGUGAAGUAUGGCCUCGUCCCGGUCAUCUGGGCGUGCGGGUCCCGGGUUUUGAUCGCGCGUUUGUGUAGGUUUUAACUUCUAGUCAUGGCGAAUGAUCGCAGGAGAGCACAGACUGGACCCUGCUACGAUCUCUCUUGGAGUGGAUCAGACUGAUGAUCACCAACAACCAACUCAUUCCCGGAUAAGGAAGAAGAGAGUGUCACCUACUUCAGUGUGGUUUCAACCCUACUUCUGCAUCUUAAAGACACUGUAUGGUUUCAGCAGUAGUGCCCCUGUUCAUUAGUCCCCCUGAUGUUUUCAUUCCUCAUCUCAUCUUUUUCUUAGCAGCAUUCAAUGAAUCCUUCAUUCUAGAAACACUCUAUAUCUUUGGUUUUCAUGAGACCAUUCUCACCUUGUUUUGUCCUGUGACUUUUUUGAAAAAAACAAAAACAAAAAACCCUUUUUUUCUUUUUAAAUUCUGGUAAAAAACACAAUGAAAAUUUGCUAUCUUAACCAUGUUGAAAUGUGCAGUUAGUAAAGUACAUUCACAUUGUGGUGCAAGCCAUCACUACCAUCCAUCACUAGAACCCUUUUCAUCUUGCAGAUCUGAAACUCUACCCAUUAAACGACUUCCCAUCUUCCCAUCCCCACAGCUCCUAGCAACCAACAUUCUACUUUCUCUAUCAGUUUGACUACUCUAGGUACCUCAUAUGAGUAGAAUCAUACAGCAUUUAUCCUUCUCUGCCUGGCUUAUUUCACUUGUAUAAUGUCCUCAAGGUUCAUUCAUGUUGUAGCAUGCAUCAGAACUUCCUCCCCUUUUAAAGGCUGGAUAAUAUUUCAUGGUAUGUUUAGAUCACAUUCUGUUUAUCCAUUCAUCCAUCAGUGAACACUUGUGCUCCUUCCAACUUUGGGCUGUUGGGUGUCCUGCCACUGUUGCUCCUAGUGCUCAAUCUCGUUUAUUCCCUCCUAAUCAAGUGUACAACGUUGGACACUGUGCAGGAUGAUGCCACUUCAUCUUGGAUGCUAAUCUGCCAUGUUGACUUCUGAUUAACCCCAGGCCCAGGAAUGCCUCAAGAUUUCUACUUUACUUACUGUUGCUUGUGUAAGCCAAGACAACCUUGAUGUUAUCAUAAACAUGUACUUACCUAAGUCCUGUCCUUUGGCAAAUUAUGGGCUAUGAGACACAGCAUUCUUGCCUUUCCCUGAGGGGUCAAUUUCAGCGAUCCUACACAUUCCUUCUGAAGCACUUAUGCUCUUUCUAUAUGGUAUGUAAGCUCUCGGUCUGGGGAGUAACAGUGCAGAGAUCUACCUGUCUUGUUGCCACAUGUUUCUAAACUUUCCAAUAAAUCACCUUCUACUGACAAA
rnacentral:lncRNA from 1 species